CAGUAGCCACGGUAAUACGUAGGUGGCAAGCGUUGUCCGGAAUUAUUGGGCGUAAAGCGCGCGCAAGUGGUUUAAUAAGUCUGAUGUGAAAGCCCACGGCUCAACCGUGGAGGGACAUUGGAAACUGUUAAACUUGAGUGCAGGAGAGAAAAGUGGAAUUCCUAGUGUAGCGGUGAAAUGCGUAGAGAUGUGGAGGAACACCAGUGGCGAAGGCGACUCUCUGGUCUGUAACUGACGCUGAGGAGCGAAAGCGUGGGGGGCGAACAGGAUUAGAUACCCCCGUAGUCCCUGUCUCUUAUAC
rnacentral:rRNA from 1 species